CAGUCGCCGCGGGAAUACAGAGGGUGCGAGCGUUAAUCGGAUUUACUGGGCGUAAAGCGUGCGUAGGCGGCUUCUUAAGUCGGAUGUGAAAUCCCUGAGCUUAACUUAGGAAUUGCAUUCGAUACUGGGAAGCUAGAGUAUGGGAGAGGAUGGUAGAAUUCCAGGUGUAGCGGUGAAAUGCGUAGAGAUCUGGAGGAAUACCGAUGGCGAAGGCAGCCAUCUGGCCUAAUACUGACGCUGAGGUACGAAAGCAUGGGGAGCAAACAGGAUUAGAUACCCCAGUAGUCCCUGUAUCUUAUAC
rnacentral:rRNA from 1 species